rnacentral:rRNA from 1 species
CAGCCGCCGCGGUAAUACGUAGGGUGCGAGCGUUAAUCGGAAUUACUGGGCGUAAAGCGGGCGCAGACGGUUACUUAAGCAGGAUGUGAAAUCCCCGGGCUCAACCUGGGAACUGCGUUCUGAACUGGGUGACUAGAGUGUGUCAGAGGGAGGUAGAAUUCCACGUGUAGCAGUGAAAUGCGUAGAGAUGUGGAGGAAUACCGAUGGCGAAGGCAGCCUCCUGGGAUAACACUGACGUUCAUGCCCGAAAGCGUGGGUAGCAAACAGGAUUAGAUACCCGUGUAGUCCCUGUCUCUUAUAA